AACGCGAAGAACCUUACCUGGGCUCGAACGGCUUCCCAACGCCGGUGGAAACAUCGGUACCCCGCAAGGGGGUGGAGUCGAGGUGCUGCAUGGCUGUCGUCAGCUCGUGUCGUGAGAUGUUGGGUUAAGUCCCGCAACGAGCGCAACCCUUAUCCCCAGUUGCCAUCAUUUAGUUGGGCACUCUGGUGAAACCGCCUCGGAUAACGGGGAGGAAGGUGGGGAUGACGUCAAGUCCUCAUGGCCUUUAUGUCCAGGGCUACACACGUGCUACAAUGGCCGGUACAAACCGUCGCAAACCCGCGAGGGGGAGCUAAUCGGAAAAAGCCGGCCUCAGUUCGGAUUAGAGUCUGCAACUCGACUCUAUGAAGCUGGAAUCGCUAGUAAUCGCGGAUCAGAACGCCGCGGUGAAUACGUUCCCGGGCCUUGUACACACCGCUAGUC
rnacentral:rRNA from 1 species